rfam:Bacillus alcalophilus ATCC 27647 = CGMCC 1.3604 strain AV1934 contig00077, whole genome shotgun sequence.
ACGAUGUUCCGCUGUCUAUUUAACUAUGUACACAAGAGCAUCUG